UCCACAUACCUUAAAGUUGCAAAGUUUAUAAAACACUGGCUUAGGUCUUUUUCCUGGAGUCUUUCUUGACUUAUGUAUUAUGACAUAAUAGAAUUUAGAACUGAACCAAUAGGCCUGGGUGACAUGUUGAAUCCUUCCUACAGGCUCCAAUACCACCUAGCCCUGGAGAGGAUUUGCUUUCCUUGUUUCCUCCAAAAUUACAAAUCUCUAAUCAGGCCGAGAGACUGACAGCCAUGAAGAUGAUUUCCGUAAUCUUUGCCAGUAUCGUCUUGUCCUUCCUUGCCAGUUCAGGCAAAGGAGAUUUUGUCACAUUGGGCUGCCUUUUCCGAGGUGGAACCUGUGAAACUGACACCUGCAAAGAAAAUGAAAUACAGAUUGGGAACUGCUCCAAGACUGAAAAAAUAUGUUGUAAGAAACCUAAACCAGCUCUACAUCCCAGGGCACAGCCACCUGGAGAAAUUAUCACUAGAUCCACAGACACGUAGAUAACUGAUGAGUUUACUAAUAUGUUUUGCUACAGUUUUGUUUUGUGCAUGUACCAUUUUCUUUAAAAAGUUUGAAGACGUGAUGUUUGACUCUUUCUCCUUAAA